GCCCCAUCCCGUGAACUGCGCUGCUCCGUUGUUUCUGUUCGGAGCUGAUGAAAGCAAACAUGGAGUCGGACAACAUUUAUUUACAGUUUUCUAUGCAUUUUAUGAACACCAAAUUCCUGUGCAUCCAUGCUGUGCAUUUAUUCUGUUCAUGAGGUUCUUAACUCCACUGAUUAUCACACUGUUUUCCUGCUCACGCAGACACACAGCAGAUGACAGACACACACACACACACCUGCAUAUUGAUGACCUGCUGUUUGGAAUAAAGCUGAUAAAAGGAUUAUCUCCCUUACCAAAAAUAGUAUAUAAAAAGUAAACUAGAAGUAUACUUGUAACAUACUUGCAUAUACUACUUUUUGGUAAGGGCUGGCUGGAAUCUAUCUGUAGUGUUCCCAUCCUAAGACGAACCACUAUUCCAUACUUUAGAAGGCUUCUAGUAACGAUGUGUCUAAAAUUUGUGUGAAGCGUGUUAACAGUGGUCUGUGCAAUUACGCCUCAAUCUCAAGUUUGGUGAACACCUGUGUUUGGACGUGGCCUCGAAAAGACAUCAAGAGUCAGGAGCAGAAAAGAGAAAGAAGAUGAGACAGUGGGAUGAUGCUCGUGUGUCACUUGCAGGGUCAGUGCUGAGAUACGUACAAGGAGGAACUCAAGGCCAAGAGGAAGAUUUAGAUGAUCAACCAUCCACCAGCAGUUCAAGCCCACAACAUCAACCACUAACCAGCUGGUCUGUAGAUUCUGCAACAGCACUCAGCUGACCAACAACCAUUUCAGGUGGUGUUGUGUUGCUGUCCUUGAAGGGACGUUCGUGUUUAGGAGUGUGGACUCUUCUUUGAUUGGACCAAAUCUGCAGCCCCCCAGCAUCAGCCGGCUCACAACAACAAUCCCCACUGCUUCUGUGUCUAUGAACCCCUCCCCCUUGACAACACGCUCCAAUACGCAACCCCCCCCAACCAUUUCCGGGCUCCAGUCUGUCCUUCACAUCAGUUCAGGAGGAGACUCUCUGUCCUACAGUCCACACAGAGACACUGAGGAACCAGAACCAGACAACAACCUGAACCUGAACCCAGCACACACAGGUUCAGUGAACGUGCAGCAGAAGGUGGAUGUAAAUCAGAGA